rnacentral:rRNA from 1 species
CGCUAUCCCCAACGGACUAAGCAUAUCAAUAAGCGGAGGAAAAGAAACCAACAGGGAUUGCCCUAGUAACGGCGAGUGAAGCGGCAACAGCUCAAAUUUGAAAUCUGGCCUCGGCCCGAGUUGUAAUUUGCAGAGGAAGCUUUAGGCGCGGCACCUUCUGAGUCCCCUGGAACGGGGCGCCAUAGAGGGUGAGAGCCCCGUAUAGUUGGAUGCCUAGCCUGUGUAAAGCUCCUUCGACGAGUCGAGUAGUUUGGGAAUGCUGCUCAAAAUGGGAGGUAAAUUUCUUCUAAAGCUAAAUACCGGCCAGAGACCGAUAGCGCACAAGUAGAGUGAUCGAAAGAUGAAAAGCACUUUGAAAAGAGGGUUAAAUAGCACGUGAAAUUGUUGAAAGGGAAGCGCUUGUGACCAGACUUGCGCCGGGCUGAUCAUCCGGUGUUCUCACCGGUGCACUCUGCCCGGCUCAGGCCAGCAUCGGUUCUCGCGGGGGGAUAAAGGCCCAGGGAACGUAGCUCCUCCGGGAGUGUUAUAGCCCUGGGUGCAAUGCCCUCGCGGGGACCGAGGUUCGCGCAUCUGCAAGGAUGCUGGCGUAAUGGUCACCAGCGACCCGUCU